UCCUCUUUCCCCAAAUUAACAAAACCUAAUUUUUCACUUUAGCAUUUCUCUACCACUUCGUUUGUUGUUGUGACUUUGUUGUCCCUUUUUUUGUCGUCGUGACUACUUCGGCAUUGUUCACCGUCAGUGUGUUCUUGCUGCAUUGGCUUCUCUUCUCAUAUUUUGUUCUCCAUUCUCUUUUUCUUCUCCAUUUUAGUUCUAAGUUUUUUUAUGUCUGCUUUAUUUCAGCUCCACCCUUCACUGCCGUUGUUCAGCUCUACCUCCGGCUCCACCACGGUCAGCUUCCCGUUCCCGCUGCUCCAACACCAUUCAUGGGAGGUAAAGUUUUAAAACUUCAGAUUUUUUUUAUUUUUUUUUGUGUUGUUGUGUGAAUGGAUGUGAUUUGAUUGAGUUUAUGUGACUGUAAACAUAAUUCUGUUGUGAUAAUAAAAAAAUUAAAACAGAAAUGAAACUUUGAAGCUUAAAAGCUUAUGUGCGGGGAAGAAGGUUGUUACGUGUACAAAAUUCAUGGACAAAACGUUAAUUUAAUUUUAGUAAAACUGAAUUACUAAAAGUGAUUUAAUAGGAUUUACAAUUUGAUUAAAACUAAUUUAAUAGAAUUUGAAAGUUAAGGUUUCCUUAAAAAAAUGAAGAGAAUAAAAGGAAGAAAGGUAAUUAAUAAAGAAGGAAAGAUAAUUAAUAAAAGGUUAGGUAAUUAAUAAAAGAAGUAAGAAUUUGUUUUGGAAAAAAAAUUAUUACUAUUUAAAAAUAAUUUAGGAAAUUGUGUUUUUAAUUUUUUUUCAUUAAAUAUCUUGUAAUAAUGUAGAUUUAGAAGUUUUAUUUUAUUUUUUCCAUUGAUUAGGUUUAAUUAAUGGUUAUGUUGUAAUAAUUAAGUACAUUCUAAAUUUAGAAAUUUCAUUUUUUUCCAUUGGUUAUGUUUUAAUAAUAAUUAAAUACAUUUAUAAGUUUUCAUUUUUCCAUUGUGUUUUAAUAAAAUAUUAGUGUUGCGGAGAGUAAACUUUUUCAUUUUUCCAUUGGUUAUUUAAAAAAAAUUAAAAGGUGAUAGGUGUACAAAAUAAAUAGGUGCUGUAGAGAGUAAAAAACAUGGGCAGCAGAUUGGGCCAAGUGUUUUCAAGAAAAUUACAAAUAGUGAUGUGGGGAGUGUAUAAAUUAAAUAGAGGUUGCAUAGAGUAAACGUGAUAGGCAGAAGAAUGGGCCUAUAUUUUUCAUUAAUAUGUUGCAAUUAGUAAUCUGGAGGGUAUAGAAAACAAAUAAGGGUUUCAUAGAGUAAAAGUCUUGGAAAGCAUAAUGGGCCCAUGUUUUUGAAGAAAAUGUUACAAUUAGUGAUGUGGGGGGUGUAUAAAUUAAGUAGGGGCUGCAUAACUUGAACAUUAUUGUAUCCUAUUCGUCUAGGAUUUACAAAUACAAAAUUCUUACACUAACACAAUAACUAAUUACAUGAAUUAGUAUGUUUUAAAUAUUUAACAUACUAAGUUUAAACAAUAAAGUUUACAUGUGACAUAUGUAGUGCAUUGGACCCUGAUAUCCACAUGAUUCAUGUAUUAAAUCGUUUGUAAGGUAUAAGUAUACUAUUAAGUAUUGAAAAUUUCAUCAUCAACAUGCAGAAAAAUGGAUCGAGAUUUUAUGUAUGAAAUGCUUGAUUCUUGAAGAAGAUUGCUUCAUCAACAUGCAGAACAAUGACGUUCAUGCUUUUGUUUCUAAGGCAAUGAAUCAAGUUUCAUACAUACCAGAUGGAGGGGUAAGGUGGUCCGUGUGUGAAAUGUUAUUGUGAGAAAAUUGUCAAACCUUCUCAUGUCAGGAGUCAUCUGCUUCAACAUGGCUUUCAACUCAACUACAAGGUAUGGAUUUCACAAAGAAGCAGGGAAAAAUGAGGUUAACUUAAACAUUGCAUUAAGUGUGAUGAUGACUUUGGGUCAUUAGCCGAAAUGGUGAACAAUGCAUACAUGCAAGAAAGUGAUAUAAGAACUCGUUAUGUCAAUGUUAUCAAGGAUGUAGAACAAGAACCUAACGCUUAAGAACAAAAAUUUUAUGAUAUGUUAAUAUCUACUCAUCAACCCAUUUAUGAUGGAGCAACUUAGUCUAAAUUGUCAAUAGUCGUAAGGUUUUUGGGCUCUAGAACCAAUUGGCACACAACUGAAAAGUGUUUAGAUUAUUUCAUUGAAAUGUUACUUGAUGUAGCUCCAACAGAGAAUUGCAUACCUAAGGCUUAUUAUGAAACAAAAAAAGUUAUCUCUACUCUUGGGUUGAAGGCUGUCAAGAUUGAUUGUUGAGGUUGGAUGCAUGUUGUAUUACAAGGACGACAUCGAAUUAAAUGAGUGCAAAUUUUGUGGCCUUCCCAGGUACUUGCCUCCAAAGGUUCAAAACAAAACAUACAAAAGAGUGUCGAUAAAAAAAUGUUUUAUUUGUCUAUCAUACCAAAAUUUCAAAGAUUGUAUACGUCAAUGAAGUGAGCUAGCCAAAUGCGAUGGCAUUUUGAAAACAUAACUAAUGAUGAUGUUUUGCGUCAUUCAUCUGAUGGGAAAGCUUGGAAAAACUUUAAUAGUGUAUAUCCCGAAUUUGCAGCUGAACCCUGUAUUGUAAGGUUGGGACUGUGAUCUAGUGGAUUCACUCCUUAUGUCCAAGUUUUAGCAUCCCCAUAUUCUUGUUGGUCGGUAUUUGUCACCUCUUAUAACCUACCCCCUGAAAUGUGUAUGACGAAGCCGUACAUGUUUCUAAGUUGUCUCAUAUCUGUUCCUAGUAACCCAACAAAAGAACUAGAUGUAUACUUGCAACCAAUUAUUGAUGACCUCCAAAAUUGUGGUCUGCUAGUGUUUUAACUUAUGACAUAUCAACAAAAGAAAAUUUCGUCAUGCGAACUUGUUUGAUGUGGACAAUUAAUGAUUUUCCAGCAUAUGCGAUGUUGUUUGAGUGGGGGACUAAAGGGAAAUUAGUUUGUCCUUAUUGUAUGGGGGACACAAAAACAUUCACACUAAAGCAUGGAGGUAAAAGUUCCCGGUUUGACUUUCAUGGACGAUUUUUGUCAUCCAAUCAUCCUUUCAAGAGGAGUCAGGGGAGAUUUCUUAAAAAUAGAGUUGAAAUGGAUGGCCCACCUUAUGUCUUAAAUGAAAAUGAAGUAUGGGAGAUUCUUCAUAAUUUCCCAAAAGUGACAGAUGGUCCAUAUUUUGGGAUCUGCCAUUUUAGAAGGACAAAACUUUUUUGAUAAUGUUUUCAACACUGUAAUGGACAUUAAGAACAAAACGAAGGACAAUCAAAAGGCGAGAAUGGAUGUUGUUGAAUUGUGUGUUCGUGGAGACUUGGAGUUGGUUUAAUUACAAAAUGGAAAGUUUACAAAGCCAAAGGCUAACUACACAUAAUUAAAGAAAGAUGCUAAGUCAAUUUACAAAUGGAUCACCAAGUUGGAGAUGCCAGAUGGUUAUGCCUCUAACAUUGCAAGGUGUGAAAACAAAGACAAGGGAAGUAUGCAUGGUAUGAAAAGUCAUGGCUUUCACGUUUUCAUGGAGUGUUUACUACCAAUAUGUUUUCGAUAAUAGCCAGAAUUUGUGUGGAGUGACCUUGCUGACUUAAGUCGAUUCUUUAAAGACAUAUGUUUUAAUACAUUGAGGAUGAAUGAUCUUGUUAGUAUCGUUGGAUGUAUGCCUUUGAAAGGUAAGCAUCAUCUUAAUUAUUUUAAUGUUUAAGAAGGUGUGCAAGUUAUAAUAAUGACUGCUUUGCUUUAGAAUGAUGAGAGAUGCAAAGAAAUUAGUGGGUAAUUUGGCACGAGUAGAAGGAUCAAUAUAUGCAUUCUACCUACAUCGAGAGAUAACAUAUUUUUGCUCUCAUUAUUUCAAACGUGUCAGCUUGUUGUCAAAUAGAAAUUUGAAAAAUGAUCCUAAAACAUUUACGAAUGAGGAAAACCCAUACACAUUGUCAGUUUUGAAUAAAUAUGGACGACCAAGUGGUUCUAACAAAGACUAUUAGUUCAUUGAUGAAGAACAUCGUUCUACCCAUGUUCAUGUCCUCAUCAAUUACGAUAAGGUCAAACGAUUUCUUUAGUAAGUUUAAUUGUACAUAAUUUGAAUUAAAUUAUUGUAGGUUGUAUAAUUCGCUAACAAAUUCAAUCAAUAUUUAAAGAUUGUUCUUAAAAGUGUACUCAAUCAUGACGAAGAUACUUGUAUAGUCAUACAUGCUAAUUUUCCUAAAUGGUUCAAGAGCUACGUAAGUGUAACCUAAACCCAUAUGUGCUUCUUAUUAAAUCGCAAUAAAUUCAAUAAAUGUAAUGCUUUCUUAUCACUAAAACACAGGUUCAUGAUGAAAGGAAUGUAAUGAACCCAAACUUGAAGGGACUUUCUUCGGGACCUAAUUCAAAGACAACAUCAUGGAACAUGUACUUCGUUAAUGGAUAUAAGUUUCAUACAAAGGCAUGGGCUGAUGGUAAGAAAACAAUAAAUAGUGAGUUGUAUGUUAAAUGUGUCACUGGUGGAAGAGAAUACGACUUUUACGAUACAAUUCAUGAUAUAUAUAAAUUGGAGUAUGUUGCUCUCAAUAAAAAGAUCCUGUUAUUCUAUUGUGAAUGGUUUGAUCUUACAUUUAAUGUUGGGACUAGAUUUCAUUCACAAUAUAAUCUAGUUGAAAUCAAGUUAAGUGGAAGAUAUGGGCUCUAUGAUCCAUUUAUUCUUCCAAAGAAGGUCAAACAAGUUUAUUAUGUCACUUAUCCAAACAGUUGUAAAAACCUUCAUGGAUGGUGCAUUCCAAUUAAAACAAAACCCCAAGGACAUCUUCAAGUUGACAACAUCAACGAUGAAUUGCCGUAUCAAGUUGAUGAGACGUCUAAUGUGUUACCAGUUACAAGAAUUGAACAUUUACAAUGUUUAGCUGACACAUCUAAUGUCAAUGUAGUUCAUGACGAUGAUGAUAUUGAAGCACAUAAUAAUGACGAUGAUGAAGAUGUUGACCUCUUAAAUGAAGAUUAUUCGAAACAUCACAUAGACAAUGACGAUUCAGAGUUUGAUAACAAUGAUGACUGAUGUCUAUUACUUUUAAUAAACUAUAAACAAACAUAUCAUCAUUACAUAAUUAUGCUAAUAUUAUGAACAAAUAAUUUUCAGGAAAAAUGGUUAGGACUAGAGGGAGGGAUGGUUCCAUUGUUAGGCGUGGCUAGCCGAGACGUGGAGUUUCUACAUCGAUGCACGGUCAGCUAGCUAUAGACCUAGGAAGCAUCCCUUAUUCUGGUAUAUUUUAUCCCAUUCCUUGACACCGUCUUCUAGCCCGUCUUCCUCUACCCACUUCUCCUCUGACCAUGGACCAUUUUGGUAUGCUUAUCCACACACCACUAUAUCACCUCAUCACACACAUAUUUCAUCAUCUUCACACCCUCCUAGUAUUCCAAAACCACUAGGGUCAUCAUUCUCUAUUCCGACUUACCAUCAGAGUGUCCCUGCACCACUCCACCAGACUUGGAGUUUUUCACUCCAGCCUAUCCCUGGUACAUUUUUGCAGCCCACCUCUGCUACAUUUGUGCAGGCCACUCCUUAUCCCAUUGUCCACACCACAUCUUCUCCCUCUGUCUUGACUACUGUUGGCUCUGUGCAAAGCUUCUAUAACCAUGUUGACCAUGGCGCCGCUACUGCUUGAGUGCACAACCUCCCCCCUGACCUUGAGAAUGUCCAGCGUGACCCUACUCGUAGGGUCAUCAUCUGACUUCAUAGUAAAGGGUAAGUCAUCCUAAAUUUAUAUUUAUUUUUAUCUUCAUAUUACAGAUGUUUGUAAUUUGAUUUGUUUGUAUUGUAGUUGGACGCCAAAUCAUUAUGCUAAUGAUGCCAUUGAACAUUGCCUUCAGUCUUAAUUUAGAGGUCCAUAUCAUCAUUAUGAUGCCAUGACUGAGGAUGACAAACUAAAAUGGUUGACUAACUUUAAGGUAAUUUUAAUUUUUAAUUACAAUUUCAUACAAAUCAACCAAAAUGGGAAAAAUGAAACGAAAUAUUUUUUUCUCUUUAACAGAGUAGAGUCACUUGGGCACCUCAGGAUGAGUGACAAAUUAAAAGGGUCCAUGAGUCUAAAGUCAGAAAACGACUUUGUGACGUGUUAACCAAAGCUAGGGCAAAGGGUGCCCGACCUACUUGGAUAGGUGAGCAAGCAUGGGUUGAGCUUCUGAACUAUUGGGAUACACAAAAGUUCAAAGAUAAAUCAACUCAGAAUAAUGUGAAUAGGGCUUCAACUCAUGGUGGAGCAUUGCACUCCACAGGUCGAAAAUCACAUACAGAUAUUGUAGUGACUUUUGUAAGUACUCAUCACUAUCUUACAUGGAAUUCAUUUGACAUUGGCAACACACACUAAUUCUAAUUGUAUAACAUUAUUAGGAUCGUCAAUAUGAUUGUCCCCAGAACAUGAUUAUGGCCACCCACAUAAACAAGAAAGGUGACUGAGUUGAUACUCGUGCUCGUGAAACUUAUGUAAGUUAUUGUUCUAAGCUUUUUUUUAAAUUUUUAUUUUAAUUUCCUAACAUUUCCAUCUCCUAAUGACCUAUGUAGGAAAACUAUCAUGAACGCUUGAUGGCCCUUCAAGUAAAUAGUUCUUAGAACUCUAGCACUGAUGUUUAUCAAGUUGAUCCAAUAACAAAGCUUCAAAUUUGGAAGCAAGCUGCAAAAGGAAAGAGUAGAGGUCAAAUGUAUGGUAUGACAGACUUGGCUGCUAACUUCUACUAAGGAGUCUCUUCCCUCACUCAACCCUCUGCUUCACAAUUUGAUCAGUUGACUGAAAAUCAACAAUUUCGUCAAGAACUUAAUAUGUGGGGUCAAAAGUAUGCACACUUAGAGCACAAAAUGAAGGUCAUAAAGGAACAACUUGUCUUAGUGUUGUGACGUGACAAUGCUUCCACUAGCACAAGUCAAUUCAACCACUAGUAUGAUCCAGAGCACGAUGAUCAACCCAUCCCUUAAAGUGCAUCAUAGGCUGUAAGUUUAAUUAUUUCUCAUUUUUAUUAUAUACUAAAUGUUUUAGUCAUUUACAUUUAGUUGUUAACAUUGUUUGUAUUUUUUUACAGGUUUUCACAAAUCACAUCACUACUAAUUCUACUUCAUGGAUGCAUUUUAUAUUUUUAUUUGCAUUCUUUUUAUGUAAGUGUAUUAUCCAACAUUUUAAGUUUUAGUACUUUUAAUUAAUUUCUAAAGUACAAUUUUAUUUUAAGCUUUAUUUUAGUUCUAAGUUGUGAUUUAGGUAUUAAUAUUCAGUUUGAAUAUUUGGAUGGAUGAAAUUAUCUAAAUGACUUUGUUAAACUAUUUGGAUGAUUUUUCUUUUGUG
rnacentral:lncRNA from 1 species